GCCCGCAUAGUGUAGUGGUCUGCACGUCAAUCUGAUACGUUGAAGGUCCUAGUUCAAUUCUAGGUGUGGGUAC
rnacentral:tRNA from 2 species